rnacentral:rRNA from 1 species
AUUGAACGCUGGCGGCAGGCCUAACACAUGCAAGUCGAGCGGAUGAAGGGAGCUUGCUCCUGGAUUCAGCGGCGGACGGGUGAGUAAUGCCUAGGAAUCUGCCUGGUAGUGGGGGAUAACGUCCGGAAACGGGCGCUAAUACCGCAUACGUCCUGAGGGAGAAAGUGGGGGAUCUUCGGACCUCACGCUAUCAGAUGAGCCUAGGUCGGAUUAGCUAGUUGGUGGGGUAAAGGCCUACCAAGGCGACGAUCCGUAACUGGUCUGAGAGGAUGAUCAGUCACAAUGGAACUGAGAAACGGUCCAGACUCCUAAGGGAGGCAGCAGUGGGGAAUAUUGGACAAUGGGCGAAAGCCUGAUCCAGCCAAGCCGCGUGUGUGAAGAAGGUCUUCGGAUUGUAAAGCACUUUAAGUUGGGAGGAAGGGCAGUAAGUUAAUACCUUGCUGUUUUGACGUUACCAACAGAAUAAGCACCGGCUAACUUCGUG